rnacentral:rRNA from 1 species
CCUACGGGAGGCAGCAGUGAGGAAUAUUGGGCAAUGGACGGAAGUCUGAACCAGCCAUGCCGCGUGCAGGAAGACGGCUCUAUGAGUUGUAAACUGCGUUUGCACAAGAGUACACCUGAAUACGUGUAUUCAGCUGAAAGUACUGUACGAGUAAGGGACGGCUAAGUCCGUGCCAGCAGCCGCGGUAAUACGGAGGAGCGAAGGUUUGUCCGGAUUGGUUGGGUUUAAAGGGUGCGGAGGCGGAUUGAUAAGUUAGAGGUGAAAUGUCCGAGCUUAACUCGGGAACUGCCUCUAAUACUGUUGAUCUAGAGAGUAGAUGCGGUAGGCGGAAUGUAUGGUGUAGCGGUGAAAUGCUUAGAGAUCAUACAGAACACCGAUUGCGAAGGCAGCUUACCAAUCCAUAUCUGACGUUGAGGCACGAAAGCGUGGGGAGCAAACAGGAUUAGAUACCCGUGUAGUC